AUGUUUGCUUUUUGGUGGGGUGAUACAGAGGAGGAAAAUAAAAUGCACUGGUUAGCAUGGUGGAAGAUGUGCAUACCAAAAGUUAGGGGAGGCAUGGGAUUUAGAGAUCUUCAUGCUUUUAAUUUAGCAAUGUUGGCAAAAUAAAGUUGGAGAUUGAUAACCCAUCCUAAAACUUUAUGUGCCAGAGUUUUACGAGCUAAAUACUUCCCUGACGGUAAUCUUCUUAAGGCGGGGCCAAUCAAGGGGUCAUCUUACACAUGGCAAAGCAUUUUUGCAGGGCUACAAACUUCCCGCAGAGGUCACAUUUGGCGUAUUGGCUCAGGAGUGAAAGUAAAUAUAUGGGAUGAUCACUGGAUUCCGUCUAGUCAGACUAGGAUGAUUAUGACUAGGAGAGGUAAUACCUUGCUUAGGACAGUGGAUGAACUGAUGAUUCCGGGCACUGCAAGCUAG
rnacentral:rRNA from 1 species